UACGAAGGGGGGCGAGCGUUGUUCGGAAUUACUGGGCGUAAAGGGCGCGUAGGCGGCCCGAUCAAGUCAGAUGUGAAAAGUCCUGGGCUUAACCUGGGGGACUGCAUUUGAUACUGAUUGGCUUGAAUUCGGGAGAGGAUAGCGGAAUUCCCAGUGUAGAGGUGAAAUUCGUAGAUAUUGGGAAGAACACCGGUGGCGAAGGCGGCUAUCUGGACCGACAUUGACGCUGAUGCGCGAAAGCGUGGGGGAGCAAACAGG
rnacentral:rRNA from 1 species